UGCGAAUAUUCUGUGGAUUUGGCAACACGGUUCUGUUGUUGUUAUUGCAUGUGACAACUAGAGGUGAGUUAGUGGUGAACUGAAACAUUUUAAUUUCACGUUUGUAAUCGGCGUUUGUGUGUACAAGUUUGUGAAUUUUAAGUUACUUAUUGUUAAUUUUAAUCAUGGUAAAUACUCGAAAAUCAUGUAUAGUGUGUAAAACAUCCGGAAAUGAAAACAUAACCUAUCAUAGGUUUCCUUCAAAUAGAGAAUUUAGCAAAAUAUGGUGCCACGCGUUAAGAUUGCAAAUGAACUAUUUGCCGAAAUAUGCAUAUGUUUGUUCCAAACAUUUCAGCACCGAAAACUUAAUAAGAGGCAGUAAGAGAACCACACUU